rnacentral:rRNA from 1 species
UACGAAGGGGGCUAGCGUUGCUCGGAAUCACUGGGCGUAAAGCGCACGUAGGCGGGUCGUUAAGUCGGGGGUGAAAUCCUGGAGCUCAACUCCAGAACUGCCUUCGAUACUGGCGACCUUGAGUCCGGGAGAGGUGAGUGGAACUCCGAGUGUAGAGGUGAAAUUCGUAGAUAUUCGGAAGAACACCAGCGGCGAAGGCGGCUCACUGGCCCGGUACUGACGCUGAGGUGCGAAAGCGUGGGGAGCAAACAGG